rnacentral:rRNA from 1 species
CUAACUCCGUGCCAGCAGCCGCGGUAAGUACGGAGGGUGCGAGCGUUAAUCGGAAUUACUGGGCGUAAAGCGCAUGCAGGUGGUUUUGUUAAGUCAGAUGUGAAAGCCCGGGGCUCAACCUCGGAAUUGCAAUUUGAAACUGGCAAACUAGAGUACUGUAGAGGGGGUAGAAUUUCAGGUGUAGCGGUGAAAUGCGUAGAGAUCUGAAGGAAUACCGGUGGCGAAGGCGGCCCCCUGGACAGAUACUGACACUCAGAUGCGAAAGCGUGGGGAGCAAACAGGAUUAGAUACCCUGGUAG